rnacentral:rRNA from 1 species
UGACGAACGCUGGCGGCGUGCCUAAUACAUGCAAGUAGAACGCUGAAGAGAGGAGCUUGCUCUUCUUGGAUGAGUUGCGAACGGGUGAGUAACGCGUAGGUAACCUGCCUUGUAGCGGGGGAUAACUAUUGGAAACGAUAGCUAAUACCGCAUAACAAUGGAUGACACAUGUCAUUUAUUUGAAAGGGGCAAUUGCUCCACUACAAGAUGGACCUGCGUUGUAUUAGCUAGUAGGUGAGGUAAUGGCUCACCUAGGCGACGAUACAUAGCCGACCUGAGAGGGUGAUCGGCCACACUGGGACUGAGACACGGCCCAGACUCCUACGGGAGGCAGCAGUAGGGAAUCUUCGGCAAUGGGGGCAACCCUGACCGAGCAACGCCGCGUGAGUGAAGAAGGUUUUCGGAUCGUAAAGCUCUGUUGUAAGUCAAGAACGGGUGUGAGAGUGGAAAGUUCACACUGUGACGGUAGCUUACCAGAAAGGGACGGCUAACUACGUGCCAGCAGCCGCGGUAAUACGUAGGUCCCGAGCGUUGUCCGGAUUUAUUGGGCGUAAAGCGAGCGCAGGCGGUUUGAUAAGUCUGAAGUUAAAGGCUGUGGCUCAACCAUAGUUCGCUUUGGAAACUGUCAAACUUGAGUGCAGAAGGGGAGAGUGGAAUUCCAUGUGUAGCGGUGAAAUGCGUAGAUAUAUGGAGGAACACCGGUGGCGAAAGCGGCUCUCUGGUCUGUAACUGACGCUGAGGCUCGAAAGCGUGGGGAGCGAACAGGAUUAGAUACCCUGGUAGUCCACGCCGUAAACGAUGAGUGCUAGGUGUUGGAUCCUUUCCGGGAUUCAGUGCCGCAGCUAACGCAUUAAGCACUCCGCCUGGGGAGUACGACCGCAAGGUUGAAACUCAAAGGAAUUGACGGGGGCCCGCACAAGCGGUGGAGCAUGUGGUUUAAUUCGAAGCAACGCGAAGAACCUUACCAGGUCUUGACAUCCCGAUGCUAUUUCUAGAGAUAGAAAGUUACUUCGGUACAUCGGUGACAGGUGGUGCAUGGUUGUCGUCAGCUCGUGUCGUGAGAUGUUGGGUUAAGUCCCGCAACGAGCGCAACCCCUAUUGUUAGUUGCCAUCAUUCAGUUGGGCACUCUAGCGAGACUGCCGGUAAUAAACCGGAGGAAGGUGGGGAUGACGUCAAAUCAUCAUGCCCCUUAUGACCUGGGCUACACACGUGCUACAAUGGUUGGUACAACGAGUUGCGAGUCGGUGACGGCGAGCUAAUCUCUUAAAGCCAAUCUCAGUUCGGAUUGUAGGCUGCAACUCGCCUACAUGAAGUCGGAAUCGCUAGUAAUCGCGGAUCAGCACGCCGCGGUGAAUACGUUCCCGGGCCUUGUACACACCGCCCGUCACACCACGAGAGUUUGUAACACCCGAAGUCGGUGAGGUAACCUUUUGGAGCCAGCCGCCUAAGGUGGGACAGAUGAUUGGGGUGAAGUCGUA